CUUGUUCAUGUUGAAGUUCUUGAGGUAGGCCUCAUAAAUUCUCUUGGCGAGGGACUUCAGAUCUGCUGUUUCUGCAUCUUCUGGGUCAUGUUCGCAGCUGCGGUCACAUCUGUCAUAGGCCAGCUUCAGCCGAAUGGUUCGCCGGAAGAAACCCUGUGGGAUGGACGCAAGGUUGGGGAGGGGUGUUUCUUGUCGUUCAUUUACUGUACUUUUCAAAUGAACUGAAAUUAGUAAAAUCGUUCUAAGAAGUCUGACUUAAUUGGGACAAACUGACAAAUUUAAAUUUCAUUACACGUAAGACGAAAAACUAACAAAGUGAGGCAAAAUUCAAAGUCGUUUCAAGACGUCCUCGUCUGGCUUGGGAAGACAAUGGUUAUCGUCUCCCAGAGUCACUUAGUCCCAAUUUGUGUAAGUGUCGCUUUCCCUCCCCAACUCACAUCCAGAUCUGUGACUGCACAGAUCUCUGUGUAAGAGAAUACUAGCCCCCUCAAGACAAAAAUUAUAAUGAACUCAUAAAAGGCAGCCACCUGUUUGUAAAGAACGGUCACACUUUACAAAAGCUUAUCUUAAACUCUACCCAGUAAGAACCUUUAGUAUUUAGUCCAU